GACGAACGCUGGCGGCGUGCUUAACACAUGCAAGUCGAACGGAAAGGCCCUGCUUUUGUGGGGUGCUCGAGUGGCGAACGGGUGAGUAACACGUGAGUAACCUGCCCUUGACUUUGGGAUAACUUCAGGAAACUGGGGCUAAUACCGGAUAGGAGCUCCUGCUGCAUGGUGGGGGUUGGAAAGUUUCGGCGGUUGGGGAUGGACUCGCGGCUUAUCAGCUUGUUGGUGGGGUAGUGGCUUACCAAGGCUUUGACGGGUAGCCGGCCUGAGAGGGUGACCGGCCACAUUGGGACUGAGAUACGGCCCAGACUCCUACGGGAGGCAGCAGUGGGGAAUAUUGCACAAUGGGCGGAAGCCUGAUGCAGCAACGCCGCGUGCGGGAUGACGGCCUUCGGGUUGUAAACCGCUUUCGCCUGUGACGAAGCGUGAGUGACGGUAAUGGGUAAAGAAGCACCGGCUAACUACGUGCCAGCAGCCGCGGUGAUACGUAGGGUGCGAGCGUUGUCCGGAUUUAUUGGGCGUAAAGGGCUCGUAGGUGGUUGAUCGCGUCGGAAGUGUAAUCUUGGGGCUUAACCCUGAGCGUGCAUUCGAUACGGGUUGACUUGAGGAAGGUAGGGGAGAAUGGAAUUCCUGGUGGAGCGGUGGAAUGCGCAGAUAUCAGGAGGAACACCAGUGGCGAAGGCGGUUCUCUGGGCCUUUCCUGACGCUGAGGAGCGAAAGCGUGGGGAGCGAACAGGCUUAGAUACCCUGGUAGUCCACGCUGUAAACGGUGGGUACUAGGUGUGGGGUCCAUUCCACGGGUUCCGUGCCGUAGCUAACGCUUUAAGUACCCCGCCUGGGGAGUACGGCCGCAAGGCUAAAACUCAAAGGAAUUGACGGGGCCCCGCACAAGCGGCGGAGCAUGCGGAUUAAUUCGAUGCAACGCGUAGAACCUUACCUGGGUUUGACAUGGAUCGGGAGUGCUCAGAGAUGGGUGUGCCUCUUUUGGGGUCGGUUCACAGGUGGUGCAUGGCUGUCGUCAGCUCGUGUCGUGAGAUGUUGGGUUAAGUCCCGCAACGAGCGCAACCCUUGUUCACUGUUGCCAGCACGUUAUGGUGGGGACUCAGUGGAGACCGCCGGGGUCAACUCGGAGGAAGGUGGGGAUGACGUCAAGUCAUCAUGCCCCUUAUGUCCAGGGCUUCACGCAUGCUACAAUGGCUGGUACAGAGAGUGGCGAGCCUGUGAGGGUGAGCGAAUCUCGGAAAGCCGGUCUCAGUUCGGAUUGGGGUCCGCAACUCGACCUCAUGAAGUCGGAGUCGCUAGUAAUCGCAGAUCAGCAACGCUGCGGUGAAUACGUUCCCGGGGCU
rnacentral:rRNA from 1 species